GGUUAAGCGACUAAGCGUACACGGUGGAUGCCCUGGCAGUCAGAGGCGAUGAAGGACGUGCUAAUCUGCGAAAAGCGUCGGUAAGGUGAUAUGAACCGUUACAGCCGGCGAUGUCCGAAUGGGGAAACCCAGUGCAAUUCGUUGCACUAUCGUUAACUGAAUACAUAGGUUAACGAGGCGAACCGGGGGAACUGAAACAUCUAAGUACCCCGAGGAAAAGAAAUCAACCGAGAUUCCCCCAGUAGCGGCGAGCGAACGGGGAGCAGCCCAGAGUCUGAAUCAGCUUGUGUGUUAGUGGAACGGUCUGGAAAGUCCGACGGUACAGGGUGAUAGUCCCGUACACCAAAAUGCACAGGCUGUGAACUCGAAGAGUAGGGCGGGACACGUGGUAUCCUGUCUGAAUAUGGGGGGACCAUCCUCCAAGGCUAAAUACUCCUGACUGACCGAUAGUGAACCAGUACCGUGAGGGAAAGGCGAAAAGAACCCCGGCGAGGGGAGUGAAAAAGAACCUGAAACCGUGUACGUACAAGCAGUGGGAGCACCUUCGGGUGUGACUGCGUACCUUUUGUAUAAUGGGUCAGCGACUUAUAUUCUGUAGCAAGGUUAACCGUAUAGGGGAGCCGCAGGGAAACCGAGUCUUAACUGGGCGUUAAGUUGCAGGGUAUAGACCCGAAACCCGGUGAUCUAGCCAUGGGCAGGUUGAAGGUUGGGUAACACUAACUGGAGGACCGAACCGACUAAUGUUGAAAAAUUAGCGGAUGACUUGUGGCUGGGGGUGAAAGGCCAAUCAAACCGGGAGAUAGCUGGUUCUCCCCGAAAGCUAUUUAGGUAGCGCCUCGUGAAUUCAUCUUCGGGGGUAGAGCACUGUUUCGGCUAGGGGGUCAUCCCGACUUACCAACCCGAUGCAAACUGCGAAUACCGAAGAAUGUUAUCACGGGAGACACACGGCGGGUGCUAACGUCCGUCGUGAAGAGGGAAACAACCCAGACCGCCAGCUAAGGUCCCAAAGUCAUGGUUAAGUGGGAAACGAUGUGGGAAGGCACAGACAGCCAGGAUGUUGGCUUAGAAGCAGCCAUCAUUUAAAGAAAGCGUAAUAGCUCACUGGUCGAGUCGGCCUGCGCGGAAGAUGUAACGGGGCUAAACCAUGCACCGAAGCUGCGGCAGCGACACUAUGUGUUGUUGGGUAGGGGAGCGUUCUGUAAGCCUGCGAAGGUGUGCUGUGAGGCAUGCUGGAGGUAUCAGAAGUGCGAAUGCUGACAUAAGUAACGAUAAAGCGGGUGAAAAGCCCGCUCGCCGGAAGACCAAGGGUUCCUGUCCAACGUUAAUCGGGGCAGGGUGAGUCGACCCCUAAGGCGAGGCCGAAAGGCGUAGUCGAUGGGAAACAGGUUAAUAUUCCUGUACUUGGUGUUACUGCGAAGGGGGGACGGAGAAGGCUAUGUUAGCCGGGCGACGGUUGUCCCGGUUUAAGCAUGUAGGCUGGUUGUCCAGGCAAAUCCGGAUAAUCAAGGCUGAGGUGUGAUGACGAGGCACUACGGUGCUGAAGUAACAAAUGCCCUGCUUCCAGGAAAAGCCUCUAAGCAUCAGGUAACAUUAAAUCGUACCCCAAACCGACACAGGUGGUCAGGUAGAGAAUACCAAGGCGCUUGAGAGAACUCGGGUGAAGGAACUAGGCAAAAUGGUGCCGUAACUUCGGGAGAAGGCACGCUGGUGUGUAGGUGAAGUCCCUGCGGAUGGAGCUGAGACCAGUCGAAGAUACCAGCUGGCUGCAACUGUUUAUUAAAAACACAGCACUGUGCAAACACGAAAGUGGACGUAUACGGUGUGACGCCUGCCCGGUGCCGGAAGGUUAAUUGAUGGGGUUAUCCGUAAGGAGAAGCUCUUGAUCGAAGCCCCGGUAAACGGCGGCCGUAACUAUAACGGUCCUAAGGUAGCGAAAUUCCUUGUCGGGUAAGUUCCGACCUGCACGAAUGGCGUAAUGAUGGCCAGGCUGUCUCCACCCGAGACUCAGUGAAAUUGAACUCGCUGUGAAGAUGCAGUGUACCCGCGGCAAGACGGAAAGACCCCGUGAACCUUUACUAUAGCUUGACACUGAACAUUGAGCCUUGAUGUGUAGGAUAGGUGGGAGGCUUUGAAGCGUGGACGCCAGUCUGCGUGGAGCCAACCUUGAAAUACCACCCUUUAAUGUUUGAUGUUCUAACGUUGGCCCCUUACCGGGGUUGCGGACAGUGUCUGGUGGGUAGUUUGACUGGGGCGGUCUCCUCCCAAAGCGUAACGGAGGAGCACGAAGGUUAGCUAAUCCUGGUCGGACAUCAGGAGGUUAGUGCAAUGGCAUAAGCUAGCUUGACUGCGAGCGUGACGGCGCGAGCAGGUGCGAAAGCAGGUCAUAGUGAUCCGGUGGUUCUGAAUGGAAGGGCCAUCGCUCAACGGAUAAAAGGUACUCCGGGGAUAACAGGCUGAUACCGCCCAAGAGUUCAUAUCGACGGCGGUGUUUGGCACCUCGAUGUCGGCUCAUCACAUCCUGGGGCUGAAGUAGGUCCCAAGGGUAUGGCUGUUCGCCAUUUAAAGUGGUACGCGAGCUGGGUUUAGAACGUCGUGAGACAGUUCGGUCCCUAUCUGCCGUGGGCGCUGGAGAAUUGAGGGGGGCUGCUCCUAGUACGAGAGGACCGGAGUGGACGCAUCACUGGUGUUCGGGUUGUCAUGCCAAUGGCACUGCCCGGUAGCUAAAUGCGGAAGAGAUAAGUGCUGAAAGCAUCUAAGCACGAAACUUGCCCCGAGAUGAGUUCUCCCUGAGACUUUAAGUCUCCUGAAGGAACGUUAAAGACGAUGACGUUGAUAGGCCGGGUGUGUAAGCGCAGCGAUGCGUUGAGCUAACCGGUACUAAUGAACCGUGAGGCUUAACCUU
rnacentral:rRNA from 2 species